rnacentral:rRNA from 1 species
UGAGGAAUAUUGGUCAAUGGACGUAAGUCUGAACCAGCCAAGUCGCGUGAGGGAAGACUGCCCUAUGGGUUGUAAACCUCUUUUAUAAGGGAAGAAUAAGUUCUACGUGUAGAAUGAUGCCUGUACCUUAUGAAUAAGCAUCGGCUAACUCCGUGCCAGCAGCCGCGGUAAUACGGAGGAUGCGAGCGUUAUCCGGAUUUAUUGGGUUUAAAGGGUGCGUAGGCGGUUUAUUAAGUUAGUGGUUAAAUAUUUGAGCUAAACUCAAUUGUGCCAUUAAUACUGGUAAACUGGAGUACAGACGAGGUAGGCGGAAUAAGUUAAGUAGCGGUGAAAUGCAUAGAUAUAACUUAGAACUCCGAUAGCGAAGGCAGCUUACCAGACUGUAACUGACGCUGAUGCACGAGAUCGUGGGUAGCGAACAGG